rnacentral:rRNA from 1 species
GAUAAACGCUGGCGGCGUGCCUAAUACAUGCAAGUCGAGCGAACAGACGAGGAGCUUGCUCCUCUGACGUUAGCGGCGGACGGGUGAGUAACACGUGGAUAACCUACCUAUAAGACUGGGAUAACUUCGGGAAACCGGAGCUAAUACCGGAUAAUAUGUUGAACCGCAUGGUUCAAUAGUGAAAGACGGUUUUGCUGUCACUUAUAGAUGGAUCCGCGCCGCAUUAGCUAGUUGGUAAGGUAACGGCUUACCAAGGCAACGAUGCGUAGCCGACCUGAGAGGGUGAUCGGCCACACUGGAACUGAGACACGGUCCAGACUCCUACGGGAGGCAGCAGUAGGGAAUCUUCCGCAAUGGGCGAAAGCCUGACGGAGCAACGCCGCGUGAGUGAUGAAGGUCUUCGGAUCGUAAAACUCUGUUAUUAGGGAAGAACAAAUGUGUAAGUAACUAUGCACGUCUUGACGGUACCUAAUCAGAAAGCCACGGCUAACUACGUG